rnacentral:rRNA from 1 species
UACGGAGGGUGCAAGCGUUAUCCGGAUUUACUGGGUUUAAAGGGUGUGUAGGCGGACAUUUAAGUCAGGGGUGAAAUCCCGAGGCUCAACCUCGGAACUGCCUUUGAUACUAUUUGUCUUGAAUGUUGUUGAGGUGGGCGGAACGGGUCAUGUAGCGGUGAAAUGCAUAGAUAUGACCCGGAACACCGAUUGCGAAGGCAGCCCGCUAAGCAACUAUUGACGCUGAGGCACGAAAGCGUGGGGAGCAAACAGG